rnacentral:rRNA from 1 species
UACGUAGGGGGCAAGCGUUGUCCGGAAUCAUUGGGCGUAAAGCGCGUGUAGGCGGUCCGGUAAGUCCGCUGUGAAAGUCGGGGGCUCAACCCUCGGAUGCCGGUGGAUACUGUCGGGCUUGAGUACGGAAGAGGCGAGUGGAAUUCCUGGUGUAGCGGUGAAAUGCGCAGAUAUCAGGAGGAACACCAAUUGCGAAGGCAGCUCGCUGGGGGUUUUCUGACGCUGAGGAACGAAAGCCAGGGGAGCGAACGGG